rnacentral:rRNA from 1 species
UACGAAUUGUGCGAACGUUAUUCGGAAUCACUGGGCUUAAAGGGUGCGUAGGCGGGUUUAAAGGUCUGAUGUGAAAUCCCACGGCUCAACCGUGGAAUUGCGUUGGAAACCAUAAGUCUUGAGGAGAUCAGAGGUGAGCGGAACUGAUGGUGGAGCGGUGAAAUGCGUUGAUAUCAUCAGGAACACCGGUGGCGAAAGCGGCUCGCUGGGAUCUUUCUGACGCUGAGGCACGAAAGCUAGGGGAGCGAACGGG